rnacentral:rRNA from 1 species
AUUGAACGCUGGCGGCAGGCCUAACACAUGCAAGUCGAGCGGAUGAAGGGAGCUUGCUCCUGGAUUCAGCGGCGGACGGGUGAGUAAUGCCUAGGAAUCUGCCUGGUAGUGGGGGAUAACGUCCGGAAACGGGCGCUAAUACCGCAUACGUCCUGAGGGAGAAAGUGGGGGAUCUUCGGACCUCACGCUAUCAGAUGAGCCUAGGUCGGAUUAGCUAGUUGGUGGGGUAAAGGCCUACCAAGGCGACGAUCCGUAACUGGUCUGAGAGGAUGAUCAGUCACACUGGAACUGGGACACGGUCCAGACUCCUACGGAAGGCAGAAUUGGGGAAUAUUGGACAAUGGGCGAAAGCUUGAUCCAGCCCUGCCGCGUGUGUGAAGAAGGUCUUCGGAUUGUAAAGCACUUUAAGUUGGGAGGAAGGGCAGUAAGUUAAUACCUUGCUGUUUUGACGUUACCAACAGAAUAAGCACCGGCUAACUUCGUG